UAUGACAUCUAUGUUUUUAUUUGGUACUUUAGGUUACUAUGAAAAAAGACUAUCAACAGCGAAAGAUGGAAAAAGUGCUGAGUCUUCAAAAACCCACCAUUACUCUCAGUGCUUACCAGCGAAAGUGCAUUCAGUCCAUCCUAAAGGAGGAGGGUGAACACAUAAGGGAAAUGGUGAAGCAAAUCAAUGAUAUCCGCAAUCACAUAAACUUCUGACACCACCAGGAGGGACCGAUUCACAACUGAAGUUACCGCCACUGAAUGCUUAACCCAUGUUGUAAAAUAAACUGGUGGCAUUAUCUAAUUUAUAAAGAGGCAUUUAGGAAGACCUUUGAUGUGGUGGUUCAUCUUUUUAAAUAUAUUAUCUGUUUUUUAAUUAUUGAAUAAAUACAUUUAUUUAAAAA